CCCUUAGAUGUUCUGGGCCGCACGCGCGCUACACUGAUGAAUUCAACGAGCUCCUAACCUAGGCCGAAGGGUCCGGGUAAUCUUUGAAAUUUCAUCGUGAUGGGGAUAGAUUAUUGCAACUAUUAAUCUUCAACGAGGAAUGCCUAGUAAGCGCGAAUCAUCAGUUCGCGUUGAUUACGUCCCUGCCCUUUGUACACACCGCCCGUCGCUCCUACCGAUUGAAUGGUCCGGUGAAAAUUUCGGACAGUGACGAUGCUGGCGGUCCGCCGCCGGCGCUGUCGCUGGAAGAUCUUUAAACCUUAUCAUUUAGAGGAAGGAGAAGUCGUANCA
rnacentral:rRNA from 1 species